UACGGAGGGCGCAAGCGUUGUUCGGAAUCACGGGGCGUAAAGCGCGUGUCGGCGGCUUGGUAAGUCGGGUGUGAAAGCCCGGAGCUCAACUCCGGAACUGCACUCGAAACUGCCUCGCUCGAGUCCCGGAGAGGGUGGUGGAAUUCCCGGUGUAGAGGUGAAAUUCGUAGAUAUCGGGAGGAACACCAGUGGCGAAGGCGGCCACCUGGACGGUGACUGACGCUGAGACGCGAAAGCGUGGGGAGCAAACAGG
rnacentral:rRNA from 1 species